AUGUUUCUGUCCGUUACUGGGUGGACCAUGUCAGAGGAUAGCUAUGCUAGGCUCCCAUCUGCAACCAUAGCAGAGACAGUCAUACAGGAAAACAGAUUAUUCCUGGUCAUAGAGUCUGUAUAGUUAUCAGAUUUCCUGUGUGAUGGCUCUAUACAUU